rnacentral:rRNA from 1 species
CCUACGGGGCGCAGCAGUGGGGAAUAUUGCACAAUGGGGGAAACCCUGAUGCAGCGACGCCGCGUGAGUGAAGAAGUAUUUAGGUAUGUUAAGCUCUAUUUGCAGGGAAGCAAAUGCCGGUACCUGAUUAAGAAGCCCCGGCUAACUACGUGCCAGCAGCCGUGGUAAUACGCAGGGGGCAAGCGUUAUCCGGAUUUACUGGGUGUAAAGGGAGCGUAGGCGGCAGCACAAGUCUGGAGUGAAGUGCCGGGGCUUAACCCCGGAACUGCUUUGGAAACUGUGCAGCUAGAGUGCAGGAGAGGUAAGUGGAAUUCCUGGUGUAGCGGUGAAAUGCGUAGAUAUUAGGAGGAACACCAGUGGCGAAGGCGGCGUACUGGACUGUAACUGACGUUGAGGCUCGAAAGCGUGGGGAGCGAACAGGAUUAGAUACCCCUGUAGUC